AUGUUCGGCCUGUUAACUGGUCGACCGGAAGAGGAAGUAUCCAUGUUUCAAGGAGACAUGCUGAUGGAGCUGUCUGUGGUACAUGAUCGGGCCCGGAAAGCCAUGAGGAGUAUGGUGAAGGCAUUAUGGCCAUGUGAUACCCCUCCAGAAAGUGUGGAGGGCUUGGCCAACCUGUUCAAAGGUGCCCGGCACCGGUUUGAGCUGUGGAAGACAUCCGCCUGCCGUGAAGGCGCACGAGAAGCCCGGGCCAUGCUGAAAACACGCUUCACCAAGCUAGAUCCAAAUCAUAUGGCCCGAGUGGGACCACAGGGACUAGACGGGAAAGAAAUUCCAGUGAAUUUGGUGUAUGACCAAGUAAUGAUAGUUGCGAAGUACUCGCAGGAAGACUGUAGGUUAGACAGUCUUAUAGAUGGAAUAGAUAAGGAAUAG
rnacentral:rRNA from 1 species